rnacentral:ribozyme from 1 species
AAGCAAAGAGGAAAUGAGAAAAGAAAUGCUAUCUUAGAAGGAUUCCGCUUCGCUCCUUUUACUGUCUUUCUUAUUUCUUAUCUUUUACCUUAUAACCGUCAAGCAAUGUUCAGAAUGGAUUGUUAAAGGAAGUGAAAGUAA